GCUUACGGCCAUACCAGCCUGAAUACGCCCGAUCUCGUCUGAUCUCGGAAGCUAAGCAGGGUCGGGCCUGGUUAGUACUUGGAUGGGAGACCGCCUGGGAAUACCAGGUGCUGUAAGCC
ensembl:rRNA 5S_rRNA 5S ribosomal RNA